UACAGAGGUCUCAAGCGUUGUUCGGAUUCAUUGGGCGUAAAGGGUGCGUAGGCGGCGCGGUAAGUCGGGUGUGAAAUCUCGGGGCUUAACUCCGAAACUGCAUUCGAUACUGGCGUGCUUGAGGACUGGAGAGGAGACUGGAAUUCAUGGUGUAGCAGUGAAAUGCGUAGAGAUCAUGAGGAAGACCAGUGGCGAAGGCGGGUCUCUGGACAGUUCCUGACGCUGAGACACGAAGGCCAGGGGAGCAAACGGG
rnacentral:rRNA from 1 species